rnacentral:rRNA from 1 species
ACCGGAUCCUCGACCCUGUUCUGGUUCAAUCGGUGGAUAGGGGACUCCCCCUUGGCCGCGCGAUUCCUGGAUCUAUUCACCAUUGCGGUUGACCCUCGGGUCUUUGUCGAGACGGCCCUUAUUGGCUUAGGGCGCCUCGCUUUCCGGCGCCCCUUCGGCCCCCUUGAGGUGGCCGCUUGCGACUCCCUCCUCCGGGACAUCUUCCUUCUUCCAAUGGACAUCGAGAGCACCCCUGACUCCAUUUCCUGGCGACUGGAGUCCAACGGCCGCUUCUCCAAUAGGUCCUUAUACUCGGCGAUCGCUCCCUCGUCGGCCCUUGAGCCCUUUAGCUUGAUUUGGGACAUUCGCCUCCCUUUGAAGAUCAGGAUCUUUUUGUGGCAGUGGAUCCGGGGACGCCUCCCCUCUGGGGUAGAGGUCCUCAAGCGCAACGGACCAGGAGACGGGAUUUGCCCCCUCUGUGGCACGGUGGAGGAUGCUAACCACAUCUUCUUCUCCUGCUCCACAGCCCAAUUCCUGUGGUCUCGCUUCCGUGAGACGGUUGGUGGACAGUGGUGCAACACCAACUUCCCGGACCUGCUCGCUGAGAUCCACGCCACCGCCCCCCUCCACCGCCAUAUUAGAUGGUUGUGCGUUGGGGUCCUUGCCUGA